GUGACCUAUGUAAGUGAAGAUAAAUGCAAGCUCUUGUCUGAAGUUGGUAAAAUGCAAGCCAGUUUCAACCUGGACUUACAGGCACGACAGUAAGAUUGAGAUACUGUGCUGCUAUGUGUGCAGGAGGUACUGCUGGGAAAGGUCUGUCAAGCUGGAAUAGUACCCAACCUUUUCCAGCUGUAGGGCACAGUCCACAGUGCUUUCCAAGAAUAUUUUUUUCAUAUGUGAUGGAAGAAAAAAAAAAAAAAAAAGGCAUUUGAACUUCUGUAACAAAUUCCAACUGAGCCUGGAAGACUCAAGUGCAGUCUAACUUCUGUCUCAGGUAUGAAUAUUUAGAAGUUCAAACUUUGCUUUGGCAAAUCCAUUUCUUCUGGAUGUUAAGAAUUCUAUUUUAUUUUAUUUU